UACGUAGGGGGCAAGCGUUGUCCGGAAUUAUUGGGCGUAAAGCGCGUGUAGGCGGCUCGGUAAGUCUGCUGUGAAAGUCCAGGGCUCAACCCUGGAAUGCCGGUGGAUACUGUCGAGCUCGAGUCCGGAAGAGGCGAGUGGAAUUCCUGGUGUAGCGGUGAAAUGCGCAGAUAUCAGGAGGAACACCGAUGGCGAAGGCAGCUCGCUGGGACGGUACUGACGCUGAGGCGCGAAAGCGUGGGGAGCAAACAGG
rnacentral:rRNA from 1 species